rnacentral:rRNA from 1 species
CUAAACGACUCUCGGCAACGGAUAUCUCGGCUCACGCAUCGAUGAAGAACGUAGCAAAAUGCGAUACUUGGUGUGAAUUGCAGAAUCCCGUGAACCAUCGAGUUUUUGAACGCAAGUUGCGCCCGAAGCCUUUUGGCUAAGGGCACGUCUGCCUGGGCGUCA